rnacentral:rRNA from 1 species
AGUGAACGCUGGCGGUAGGCCUAACACAUGCAAGUCGAACGGCAGCACAGUAAGAGCUUGCUCUUACGGGUGGCGAGUGGCGGACGGGUGAGGAAUACAUCGGAAUCUACUUUUUCGUGGGGGAUAACGUAGGGAAACUUACGCUAAUACCGCAUACGACCUACGGGUGAAAGCAGGGGAUCUUCGGACCUUGCGCGAUUGAAUGAGCCGAUGUCGGAUUAGCUAGUUGGCGGGGUAAAGGCCCACCAAGGCGACGAUCCGUAGCUGGUCUGAGAGGAUGUGCUGCCCUGCUGGAAACGACACACGGUCCAGACUCCUACGGGAGGCAGCAGUGGGGAAUAUUAGACAAUGGGCGCAAGCCUGAUCCAGCCAGACCGCCUGGGUGAAGAAGGCCUUCGGGUUGUAAAGCCCUUUUGUUGGGAAAGAAAAGCAGCAGGUUAAUACCCCGCUGUUCUGACGGUACCCAAAGAAUAAGCACCGGCUAACUUCGUG